GUGCUCGCUUAGGCAGCACAUAUAAUAAAAUUGGAAUGAUACAGAGAAGAUUAGCAUGGCCCCUGCACAAGGAUAACAUUGGAAAUUUGUGAAGCAUUCUAUAUUUUU
ensembl:snRNA U6 U6 spliceosomal RNA